rnacentral:lncRNA from 1 species
UAAUAAUUUGAAUUUUUAUAAUAUUUUUAUUAUUAUAUUAAUAUUUUUAAUUAUUCAACAAUCAUGUUUAUUAUAAUGUUUACUUUGAAAAUAAGAUAUCAACUUUUUUAGUAUAAAGUGAAAUUUUAAAUAUCAAAGAAAAAAAAUGAUAUAUAUUUUUUUGGAAUAUGUUAUUUUAUUAAGUAUGUUAAAAAAUCUUAGAUAUAAAAUUAAAAAUA